GACGAACGCUGGCGGCGUGCUUAACACAUGCAAGUCGAGCGGUAAGGCCCUUUCGGGGGUACACGAGCGGCGAACGGGUGAGUAACACGUGGGUGACCUGCCCUCAGCUCUGGGAUAAGCCUGGGAAACCGGGUCUAAUACUGGAUAUGACUCCAUGACGCAUGUUGUGGGGUGGAAAGCCUUGUGCGGCUGAGGAUGGGCCCGCGGCCUAUCAGCUUGUUGGUGGGGUGAUGGCCUACCAAGGCGACGACGGGUAGCCGGCCUGAGAGGGCGACCGGCCACACUGGGACUGAGACACGGCCCAGACUCCUUACGGGAGGGCAGCAGUGGGGAAUCUUGCGCAAUGGGCGAAAGCCUGACGCAGCGACGCCGCGUGAGGGAUGACGGCCUGGU
rnacentral:rRNA from 1 species